rnacentral:rRNA from 1 species
UACGGAGGGGGCUAGCGUUGUUCGGAAUUACUGGGCGUAAAGCGCACGUAGGCGGCUUUGUAAGUUAGAGGUGAAAGCCCAGGGCUUAACCCUGGAAUUGCCUUUAAGACUGCAUCGCUCGAAUUGUGGAGAGGUGAGUGGAAUUCCGAGUGUAGAGGUGAAAUUCGUAGAUAUUCGGAAGAACACCAGUGGCGAAGGCGACUCACUGGACACAUAUUGACGCUG